CAGUCGACGCUUCAGCAAUGAAGAGUGGCAGACGGGUGAGUAACGCGUGGGAACCUUCCCAGUGGUACGGAAUAGCCCAGGGAAACUUGGGGUAAUACCGUAUAAGCCCUUAGGGGGAAAGAUUUAUCGCCAUUGGAUGGGCCCGCGUCGGAUUAGCUUGUUGGUGAGGUAAAAGCUCACCAAGGCGACGAUCCGUAGCUGGUCUGAGAGGAUGAUCAGCCACACUGGGACUGAGACACGGCCCAGACUCCUACGGGAGGCAGCUGGGGAAUAUUGGACAAUGGGCGCAAGCCUGAUCCAGCCAUGCCGCGUGAGUGACGAAGGCCUUAGGGUUGUAAAGCUCUUUUGGCGGGGACGAUAAUGACGGUACCCGCAGAAUAAGCUCCGGCUAACUUCGUGCCAGCAGCCGCGGUAAUACGAAGGGAGCUAGCGUUGUUCGGAAUUACUGGGCGUAAAGCGCACGUAGGCGGAUUUGUUAGUCAGGGGUGAAAUCCCGGGGCCCAACCUCGGAACUGCCUUUGAUACUGCAGGUCUGGAGUCCGGAAGAGGUGGGUGGAAUUCCUAGUGUAGAGGUGAAAUUCGUAGAUAUUAGGAAGAACACCGGUGGCGAAGGCGGCC
rnacentral:rRNA from 1 species